UUGAGCAGGCGCAGACAGGCAAACGUCUCCAACAUGCCUGUGGCCCGGAGCUGGGUUUGUCGCAAAACCUACGUGACCCCGCGGAGACCCUUUGAGAAAUCCCGACUCGACCAAGAGCUGAAGCUGAUCGGCGAAUACGGGCUCCGGAACAAACGAGAGGUCUGGAGGGUCAAGUUUACGCUGGCCAAAAUCCGCAAGGCCGCCCGGGAGCUGCUGACGCUAGACGAAAAGGACCCGCGGCGUCUGUUUGAAGGCAAUGCCCUGCUGCGGCGACUUGUCCGCAUUGGGGUGCUGGAUGAGGGCAAGAUGAAACUGGAUUACAUCCUGGGCCUGAAGAUCGAGGAUUUCUUGGAGAGGCGCCUGCAGACCCAGGUCUUCAAGCUGGGCUUGGCCAAGUCCAUUCAUCAUGCUCGUGUGCUGAUCCGCCAGCGCCAUAUCAGCCCUUGGAGGUGGCGGGUGUGAGUUCACCUGGAGGGUACAGAUUCACCCCUGCAAAUAACUCAGAGGGAGCUGGGGGCAUCCUCAUCCCCCCAUAGCCCAGCGCAAGGGUCACUGCGGCUCUAGCCGUAUACCUUGUGAAGGCCUCUGCCAGCAUGUGGGCAGCUGGACAGGGUCCGCAAGCAGGUUGUGAACAUCCCGUCCUUCAUUGUCCGCCUGGAUUCCCAGAAGCACAUUGACUUCUCCCUUCGCUCUCCAUACGGGGGUGGCCGCCCAGGCCGCGUGAAGAGGAAGAAUGCCAAGAAGGGCCAGGGUGGGGCGGGAGCUGGAGAUGAUGAGGAGGAGGAUUAAGCCCAUCCAGGAGCCCUUCCUGGGCUGGUGAAUGGUCUAGAUUUACAGUCAGAUAAUAAAAGAAGAUCAACACUUU